rnacentral:rRNA from 1 species
UGGGGAAUCUUGGACAAUGGGGGCAACCCUGAUCCAGCAAUGCCGCGUGAGUGAAGAAGGCCUUCGGGUUGUAAAGCUCUUUUGUCAGGGAAGAAACGGUAGUAGCGAAUAACUAUUACUAAUGACGGUACCUGAAGAAUAAGCACCGGCUAACUACGUGCCAGCAGCCGCGGUAAUACGUAGGGUGCAAGCGUUAAUCGGAAUUACUGGGCGUAAAGCGUGCGCAGGCGGUUGUGUAAGUCAGAUGUGAAAUCCCCGGGCUCAACCUGGGAAUUGCAUUUGAGACUGCACGGCUAGAGUGUGUCAGAGGGGGGUAGAAUUCCACGUGUAGCAGUGAAAUGCGUAGAUAUGUGGAGGAAUGCCGAUGGCGAAGGCAGCCCCCUGGGAUAACACUGACGCUCAUGCACGAAAGCGUGGGGAGCAAAACAGGAUUAGAUACCCUUGUAGUCCCUGAGCGGGCUGGCAAGGCGCAU